GUAGUCCACGCUGUAAACGAUGAGUGCUAGAUAUCGGGAGAAUUUCUUUCGGUUUCGCAGCUAACGCAUUAAGCACUCCGCCUGGGGAGUACGAUCGCAAGAUUAAAACUCAAAGGAAUUGACGGGGGCUCGCACAAGUGGUGGAGCAUGCGGUUUAAUUCGAUGCUACGCGAAAAACCUUACCAACCCUUGACAUGGUGAUCGUAGGCUACAGAGAUGUAGCCGUCAGUUCGGCUGGAUCACACACAGGUGUUGCAUGGCUGUCGUCAGCUCGUGUCGUGAGAUGUUGGGUUAAGUCCCGCAACGAGCGCAACCCUCAUUCUUAUUUGCCAGCGGUUCGGCCGGGGACUAUAAGGAAACUGCCGGUGAUAAACCGGA
rnacentral:rRNA from 1 species